UGAGCGUGUUGUGUGCAACUUCAAAGGCACAAGCUUAAAGGAAGCCCUCCUCUGUGGUAGACAGAUUAAUGCCCCCUCCAAAGGCAUCUACAGCCCAAUCUCUAUAACCUGCUGAGUAUAUUCUAUUACGUGGCAAAGAGCAAUGGGGGUUACAGGUGGGAUUAAGGUACCAAUCUAGAAAUCAGCUGACCUUGACAGGCCAAUGAGCCUGGAUUACCCAGGUGGGCCCAAUGGAACCACGAACGCUCAUAAACAUGGAAGGAGGCAGCGAAAGGGAGAGACGCCAGCGGGAGGAGCUCCGGUGCGGGUGUUGGCGGCUUUGAAGCUGGAGGAGCAGGACCCUGAAGCAAAGCAGUCAUUUGGGCCAGAAUACGGUGAGCGAGACGUAACCAUGGAGAUGAGGAUAACGCUGCUGAAGUAACAGGACCAGUCAGGGUUCCAGCAGGAGACAAGGACAUAUGAGACUGUUCAGUAAAGACCGUCCGUGCUGCUGUGAACAUUGGGGUGCAUGUAUCUUUUCUAAUUAGAGUUUCCUC